UCUUCUGAGCCGGAAAUCAGAGAAGCGCGCGGGACUAGAAGAGUGACGUAUCCUCAGGCUGUGGCCUGGAUCUUUGCUUUUUAGCAUAUAGUAGUGCGAUGCGCACGCGCCGCCCCUCCUCCCACCCUCUAACCUCAACUGCCCCCAACGGUUUUUCACGCCCUUCCGCGUGACCUACUGAGAUGCACCCCUCCCCCGCUCAAAGAAAAGCAGUGUGGUCCAAAGUCAGGCAACUCCUCUCUGUGUCUUUACGUUUGCUUGUACUCCUUCCAGUAAUAACUUCCUUUCGUGGGCACCUAGGGGUAGGCUCGGAGACUCCUUCCAAGUAUUUCCCCGCACCCUUGAAUUUUAAUUCUUGAGUCCCUCCCCACGCCAAAUCCCAUUUCAUAUUUCUAGAAAAGAAUCAAAAGAUCAGGUUGUCAGUCUUGCCUGGGCGCCGCCUGCGUUGCCGAAGCUGACCGGUGACGUCACAAUGAUGUUCAGAGGGGCCUUUGGAACCGAGGAAGGAAGGAUCAGUCGGCCCAUACCAAGAGCCGAGUUCCCUGACGCCAUCAACAUGCGACUAGUAGCUGGAAGGAAGCCAAGUAAUGCACAAAGAUGCUACAGUUGCUCCGGGCCAACGACGCCCUGGGCUUUCUCAGAGGUCAUGGUACAGAUGAAAGAACAAUGAGGAAGAUUCUGUAGUGGGCCAUGGGAACCUCAUACUCAUUUUGGCAAGAAAUCUGUUCAUACUUCAUCCCAAAUCAGCCUGCCAGGAACAAGUUCCCUCCCUCUUUAUGUUUUGCAUCACUUCACCCAUGUAAUUGAUAUCGUAUCUUGCCUUCUCAGACUGUGGAUAAGGAAUAGGAAGGAAGAAGAAAAUUUUAAACUCAACAUUUUUUGAAACAUUAAAUAAAAAUUCAAAUGUAAAUUGUUUAAUGAAAUAAAUAAAAAUAUGCUUGAAAAGGA